rnacentral:rRNA from 1 species
UACGGGGGGGGGCAAGCGUUGUUCGGAAUUACUGGGCGUAAAGGGCUCGUAGGCGGCCAACUAAGUCACACGUGAAAUCCCCAGGCUUAACCUGGGAACUGCGUGUGAUACUGGAUGGCUUGAAUUCGGGAGAGGGAUGCAGAAUUCCAGGUGUAGCGGUGAAAUGCGUAGAUAUCUGGAGGAAUACCGGUGGCGAAGGCGGCAUCCUGGACCGACAUUGACGCUGAGGAGCGAAAGCUAGGGGAGCAAACGGGG